GAUGAACGCUGGCGGCGUGCCUAAUACAUGCAAGUCGAGCGAACAGACGAGGAGCUUGCUCCUCUGACGUUAGCGGCGGACGGGUGAGUAACACGUGGAUAACCUACCUAUAAGACUGGGAUAACUUCGGGAAACCGGAGCUAAUACCGGAUAAUAUAUUGAACCGCAUGGUUCAAUAGUGAAAGACGGUUUUGCUGUCACUUAUAGAUGGAUCCGCGCCGCAUUAGCUAGUUGGUAAGGUAACGGCUUACCAAGGCAACGAUGCGUAGCCGACCUGAGAGGGGGGUAGGCCACACUGGAACUGAGACACGGUCCAGACUCCUACGGGAGGCAGCAGUAGGGAAUCUUCCGCAAUGGGCGAAAGCCUGACGGAGCAACGCCGCGUGAGUGAUGAAGGUCUUCGGAUCGUAAAACUCUGUUAUUAGGGAAGAACAAAUGUGUAAGUAACUAUGCACGUCUUGACGGUACCUAAUCAGAAAGCCACGGCUAACUACGUG
rnacentral:rRNA from 1 species